rnacentral:lncRNA from 10 species
AAUAUCUUCAAUUUCAAAUUUCUCUUCCCUCUACAGUUUCUUUAUCAUGGGUCCUGUGUUUUGACAAUAAAACCACAAGAUUUUGAAGAAGCCUGCACCUCUGCAACCUCUGCAUUGAACUACAUGAAGCACAGUCACUGGUCACCAGGACUACAGUGGGUUGACUCUAUGUGAAGAUGCACAUCCAGAGAUUUAUUGUCCUUGCCCCUGGGUCUAUGGAGUUAUAAAGAAGGAAGGAAUUAAGCAUCUUGUUAUUGAACGGUCAAAAGGAAAAUGUCACUGAGUGAGUGACCUUAAGCAAGUCAUGAAGCUGCACGAGAAGGGUUUACCAUGGAGAAGAAUGAGGGGUCCAGGCAGAAGCCUCCAAGACAAUAAAGAGAUGAA